GAUUAAAUGGCUGAAAUAUUAGGCGUUAAAUUGUAAAUUUAAUUAUGAAAUUAUUUUCUUUAAUCA
rfam:Clunio marinus genome assembly, contig: CLTMA_mitochondrial_genome